GCGCCCGUAGCUCAAUGGAUAGAGCACUCCUGACUACGGAUCAAGAGGUUACAGGUUCGACUCCUUGUCGGGCGCACCA
rnacentral:tRNA from 1 species